rnacentral:tRNA from 1 species
UGGCGCGUAGCUCAGCGGCAAGAGCGGGCCUCUUAUAAGGGCCGGGGCGAGGGUUCGACUCCCUCCGCGCCGA